rnacentral:rRNA from 1 species
UGGGGAAUUUUACACAAUGGGCGAAAGCCUGAUGUAGCAACGCCGCGUGGAGGAUGACGGAUCUAGGUCUGUAAACUCCUUUUAUAAGGGAAGAAAUUUGACGGUACCUUAUGAAUAAGCACCGGCUAACUCCGUGCCAGCAGCCGCGGUAAUACGGGGGGUGCAAGCGUUACUCGGAAUCACUGGGCGUAAAGGGAGCGUAGGCGUUCUAUUAAGUCUUGAGUGAAAGCCCGCAGCCCAACUGCGGAACUGCUCAGGAAACUGAUAGAAUUGAGUAUGGAAGAGGUAGGUGGAAUUUCCAGUGUAGGGGUAAAAUCCGUAGAUAUUGGAAGGAAUACCAGAAGCGAAGGCGACCUACUGGGACAUUACUGACGCUGAGGCUCGAAAGCGUGGGGAGCAAACA